rnacentral:rRNA from 1 species
GAUGAACGCUGGCGGCGUGCUUAACACAUGCAAGUCGAACGAAGCACUUAAGAUUGAUUCUUCGGAUGACGUCUUUUGUGACUUAGUGGCGGACGGGUGAGUAACGCGUGGGUAACCUGCCUCACACAGGGGGAUAACAGUUAGAAAUGACUGCUAAUACCGCAUACCCCGAUAGGAUCGCAUGAUCCAGACGGAAAAGAUUUAUCGGUGUGAGAUGGACCCGCGUCUGAUUAGCUAGUUGGUGAGGUAACGGCCCACCAAGGCGACGAUCAGUAGCCGGCCUGAGAGGGUGAACGGCCACAGUGGGACUGAGACACGGCCCAAACUCCUACGGGAGGCAGCAGUGGGGAAUAUUGCACAAUGGGGGAAACCCUGAUGCAGCGACGCCGCGUGAGUGAAGAAGUAUUUCGGUAUGUAAAGCUCUAUAAGCAGGGAAGAAAAUGACGGUACCUGACUAAGAAGCCCCGGCUAACUACGUG